UACAGAGGGCUCAAGCGUUGUUCGGAUUCAUUGGGCGUAAAGGGUGCGUAGGUGGUGCUGUAAGUCAGGUGUGAAAUCUCGGGGCUCAACCCCGAAACUGCACUUGAUACUGCAGUGCUCGAGGACUGGAGAGGAGAUUGGAAUUCAUGGUGUAGCAGUGAAAUGCGUAGAUAUCAUGAGGAAGACCAGUGGCGAAGGCGGAUCUCUGGACAGUUCCUGACACUGAGGCACGAAGGCCAGGGGAGCAAACGGG
rnacentral:rRNA from 1 species